rnacentral:rRNA from 1 species
UUUUAUAAAUUAAGACUAGUAUGAAAGGUUAUAUGAAGUAAAGCUUUCUUAAGUUAAAUAGUAGAAUUAGUCUUUUUAGUGAAGAGACUAAAAUGUUAAUGUAAGACGAGAAGACCCUAUCAAGUUUUAUAUAAUAUAUUUAGUUGGGGAAAUUAAAGAAAAAAUCUUCUUUUAAAUAUUAAAAAUGAUGGUUUUUGAGAUUAUAAUAUAAAUUAAAAGAACAAGUUACUGUAGGGAUAACAGCAUAAUUUUUUUGAAGAGUUCUUAUCGAUAAAAUAAGUUAUGACCUCGAUGUUGGAUUAGAAAAAUUACAUGAUGAAGCUGUCGUAAAAAUUAGUCUGUUCGACUAUUAAAUUUCUA